AGUUAAAUAUAAUAAGUUCUAGAUCUAACACGUGCUUGUAUAAAUAAUGUCGAAUAGCGUUUGAACCACCUUAAUACAAACAGUAUUAAAUGAUGCUAUCAAAAAUGAAUGGAGGGACAAUGAUGAGCAAUAAAUAUAUUAAAUGGCAAUAAAUGUAAAUAUAUUGAAUGAAGUGGAUGAUUCUUCUCUUUGACAAUGAUGUAAGACAAAUGGAUAUUGGAAUAUAUGAGGUUAUCUCGGAUUUGAUGUGAGAAAAGGUAAGAUAAAUAGCAAAUUGAAUCCUUGUGGAAAGGUGAUAUUCUUGUAUUGUCUGCCUAGAGUCAACUUUUUACAAGAGUUCUUAUCAGGAUCAUUAUUACAUGUCUUUUGCCCUAUCUCUUCUACUAUUUAUAUGAGAUACUCCCCAAAAACUCUAGAAAACUCUAGCCGUUAUACGUUUUCCUACUGCUCGACCUCGGUUUUGAUGGCUUACUUGGCGGCCCCAUAAUGUCAACCCCUGGUCGAACUCGACCUAGUCGCCCAUGAUGAGCCAUCGUCCUCGCACUUGGUCACUUCUUCAUGCCGAAUUUUUCUGGUCGGAUUUUGACCCAUACAAUUAGUUCCUCCGCUUAUCGCGGUCAUCUUUUGGUCGACCUCAAUGAGCGGACUUUAUUAAUCGCAAUUCUUGAGAAAUUCGGACGUGGAGGUCAGGUUGUGGUGAUCGCUGCCGAGGUGAUGACGUGUCGCUCCGAGAGCUGCAGUCAAUGAGGCAGGUUCAGGGUGACGUCACAACUGCAUGUGUCAUUAUUACACAUCUUCCCGAUGCGUUGCAUUGUUCCUUGAGUCCUUGUCGUUUCGAUUCUAGUGUUGUUUGGCGGUUGUUUGUAUCGAUUUGAGCGUCAUGGUUUUCUAUAAAUAAGGAGGGGGGGCCUUUUGUAGAAAACUUUACUCUCUCUGAUUUUUCAAUCUUGCUCAUCAUUUUUUCUCCUUCUUCCUGUGUCCAUAUCACCAUUUCUUCUACACUUUCAGUUCCAUCGUAAGAUAUAUUAGCAGAAGAUGAUUGGCAUAACUCCUAACCCUGAGAUUACCUCAUACCCAACUCCGCUGUCAGUGGCCAUGCCUUCUGACGGAGGGGAGCCAUAGUUAUGGAUGAUGAAAGCUUCCCUACCGUGGAAGAAAUCGUUCCAUGUAACCCAGGCUCCAGGUCGGAUUUUUCGAAGUUACAUGUGCAUGACCCCGAGCCCGUGAAGUCGGAGAUGGAGGCAACCCAUAUAGCCACACCCAGGGCCAAAUACAACAUCCCUGCUCAUGUUGACCUGGUCCAGCUAGGGACGACAUGAUCCAGGUUCAUCGUCCCGGGUAUUGUACGUUUUACGCAUACCCGUUCCAAGUGGGUUACUCUCUCCUUCUUCCUCUGUUGGCGGAGGAAUUCUGCCUUUACUACGGCGUCUUCCCGGUCCAACUCUCCCCCUACAUUUACAAGCUUUUCCUUAUGCUGACAAAGUUUGCAUAGCUGGCCGACUGUGAAAUUUCUAUCCGCCAUUUGUUGCGCCUCUUCGCGCCAAGCUUCCAUAGGGGCACGAUGAUUCAUCUUCUCCACCGCGGGACUAAGGGGCUAGUGGCGAGAAUGGACAAUAAGGAGAAUCGUCAGUUUUUGUUCAACUUCUUUUUUUAAAAAAACAAGCACAUGGUGGCGAGCGCUAGUGGAUUUCCUGAGUAGUGGAACUUCGCCCAUAAGUGCUUUUGUUGAUUGAAGUACUUUCCUUCCUUUUUUUCCUGUUUUGUGGCUUGAUCGUUCUCUUUUCUUUCCGUUUAGCUGAGAAACAUCCUCCUUUGUUGGUCGUUGAUAUUUGUGACUGGGUGGCCCAAGUCUUGUCCCACACAGUAGGGAUCCAUGAUUGGGCGUCUUUCAACACGAAAUUUGGACCCAAGCCUUCGACUGGUAAGUCAGAUUUCGUUCUUUAACUACUUCGACCUCAUUACAGUCACCUUCUCUUUUUUUUACUUACAAUUUCCCUUUUGGUGUCAGGUCGAAGAGCUCCAAAAAAGGCAAAGGCUCCCGUUCCCGCAUUUCGCCAAGCGGGUGCCUCGACUGGGUCGCAAUUUGUGUUAACCGAGUCCGUGCGGAAUACUUCCUCUCAGACUUCGACUUUGAGUAGGCCCAGUCAUCGGGCGGCUGCUCCACCAGUGGAGACUCCAGCCUUCCCGAUAUUACGUCUAGUAGACGAGUCUUCACUGGGUGAUGAGGAAGUUGCUUUGCUAAAAAGGCGGAGAGUGGAGGUUGACGAAGUGGUUACGGCCGUGGCCGCACCUGAGAGUGAUGUUGUUGUGAGCGUGGAGUCUACACAUCCUUCAAUUGUAGAGACUAUUCUCCCGCUAGAGGUUGCCAUGGAAGGGAGACGGUCAGAGGCGGUAGAGGUCGCCAUAGAAGAAGGGCGAUCAGAGGUAGCGGAGGUCGUGUCGUCAUCCACCGAGGGAAAAGGAAAGAAUGUGGUUGUGGACGAUGAUGGGUCUGGUUCUGACAUAGACCCUGAGGAGGUGCAGAUGUUUGACGAGGGGUUCAGUCGGGUAGAGGUGAGAACGGAGGGAUCUAUCCGAAACAUCGUCAUUCCCUUGGACUAUAAUUUGUUAACUAACUCGGAGAGCAUGGUCCCAACUUUGAUUCCCCUCUGCAUGGGCUCUGAGAAUAGGACCUUGUAGACACUUAAGGAUGCCGACCUUUCGUUAGGCAUCUCCAGGAUGGCCCUGCGAGUAAGUUUUUUGUCAUUUUUGUGUUCUCCUAUCUUUUCCUUUUCCUUACCUUGUUCGUCUUUGACUAUUUUCUACCUGUUUAUCAGACUCUCAUUCAUGAGAUUGAGUGCGCCCAUCGAGAAGAGAAGAGGAAGGCUCUCUAUAAAAGAAUAGAGUCCAAGUAUAGGGAGUAUCGUACCAAGCAUCGCACAUUGAGUAGCAUACUCGGAGAGGAUAGUCAGUUCCAGUCUCUCCGGGACGAGUUGAAGCAGAAGGAUGAUGACCUGAAGCAGAAGGAUGAUGAGCUCAUGAGAGUCAUCAAUAGAUGUAGCGAGCUUGAAAGAACGUUGAGAGUCAAGGAGGACGAGCUUGAGGUAAGCAAAGGGGUUGUGGCCGAGUACGUCGACCUUCAGGCUUAGAUGGCAUCCUUGCAGGCCGAGCUUGAGCAGAGUAAAGCUAAAGCCAAAGGCUUGAGUGACGAGUUGGCCAUAAAAGCUACAAAGUUGGAGAGAGCCGAGAAAACCAGGACGACGGUUGUGGCAAAGGCGGUGGCAUUAGCGGGUUCCAUCCGUGUCCUCAGAUCUGAGCGGGCAAAUAAAGUGGAGAUGUAUGCGCUUAAGGAAGCAAGCUUGAAGAACGGAUUGGUGGCCUAGAGACAAAGUUUCAGACUUGAACGAGCAUAUUGCCGUCCUCAAGACCGAGAAGGCGCAGCUAUUGGCUCAACCGUCUUCCUCCCAUGUUUCCACUUACCUUGAUGUUCCAUGGGAUUUGUACGGGAAGUGGAUUCAUGUUGAGGCUAGCCUAGACAUAUUCAGGGGCUUGAUGACGGCCAGGAAAGCUACUGAGGCAGAAUUUGAGGAUGCUCGUGUUAAGACACGUGCAGCUCGGGACGCUUAUGGCUACGAUCCCGGUACGCCCGGGAGGGUGAUGGUAAAGAUGAUUUAGACGGGCUCGAGCCAGGUGCUUGGUAUGAUGAUUAAUACUCCAACGACGAGGGUGCUGGUGAUGAUGGCGAUGGGGGUGAUGCUACCGAGUAGUGUACUUGUUUUGUAAUUUUGUUGUUCUUUUUUCCUUUUCUGUUUUGCGGGCAUUUGUUUGGCCCUUUUAAGAUACCUUUUGGAAUGAUACUUUUGAUGUCCGUUUCUGAGUUUCUCAUUUUUCCUUCGAAUGUUUUCCUCAAUUGACUGCUUUGAUUGCAAUUCGAGGAAUUGUUUCUUAAUUAGUUCGAGCCAAGUCGUAUGCAAGUGUCUUAAUUAAUUCGAGCAAGGUCAAAUAUGAGUCGAUUCGAACGGGGUGGAAUGUUGGCUUGUAAUUAGUUUGAUCGAGGUCGAAUAUGAGUCGAUUCUAACGAGGUCGAAUGUCGACUUUUCAGCUAAUUCGAACGAGGUCGAAUAUGAGUCGAUUCAGCGAGGUCGAAUGUCGACUUUUAAAUUAAUUCAAAUGAGGUUGAAUAUGGGUCGAUUCGAGCAAGGUCGAAUGUUGACUUUAAAAUUGACUUGAACAAGGUUGAAUGUAAGUUGAUUCGAGCAAGGUCGAAUGUUGAAUUUAAAAAUGAUUCGAACGAGUUCAAAUGUAAGUCGAUUCGAGCAAGGUCGAAUGUUGACUUUAAAAUUGAUUCGAACGAGGUCGGAUGUAAGUCGAUUCGAGUAAGGUCGAAUGUAAGUCGAUUCGAGCAAGGUCGAAUGUUGACUUUAAAAUUGAUUCGAACGAGGUCGAAUGUUGUUCCAUGGAUUAGCUUAAUGUGUAAACUUGGUGGAGACAUGUGAACAUCAUGUGUUUGCAUAUUUCGCUUUGUUUAUACAUUAUUGGAUAAGUUUACAUGUUUUUGCUAUGUUCAUACAUACAUUGGAGAAGUCUCAGUCUAUCUAGUCCCUUCAUUGGUCGACCUGGAAAAGUAGUUGAGAGGUCGAGCGAUGAACUUAUACUUAACUUCGAGAAGCCCUCUUCGUUGCCUCGUUAUAAACCUCCUCGAGAAAAUCCAAUUGGGACAAAACUCGGAUGAUGUAAAAAGAGUACGACCUGGAGGACGUCUAUCCUUAGAAGUUGAAGUAUUUGAGGUGGGCGACGUUCCAAUUGUUUGGUAGUAAUUUUCCCUCCGUUGUUUCUAGUUGGAAUUGUUAGCUUCAAGGUUUCACGUAUUAGUUUUGAUGAUAACAAACUACUAACAUAAAUACUAAUCAAAGAGUAUUUACUUGUGGUAAUCUUAUUUUUAUACCGGAAAGAAAAUGCUGGUAAAGAUCCAAGCAAAUAUGGGAAAGAGAAUAUCAUGUGAAGAAUUUAUUAAGGAAGAUUAUUUUCAGAAAUUUAAUCUCCAAGCGUCAAAGAAGGAAUAAUAUUUGAAAGUGAAAUUUUAAAUAUUGAAUGGCUUAUUACAAUAUCAAAAGAACAAUCUAUGGAAACUAUGGAUGGAAAGCUCUUCAACAUCGUGAAAGGAAAGUUGCUAAAAUCAUGGAGAAGAUCUAUUAUUUUGUGGUGGAAAGAUACUAUAUGGAAGAGAUAUUACAAGGCAAGGAAGAAUAUAUUUCUUAUGGAAAGAAAAUAUAUUAUGAGUAUAGUAUAUUCUUUAUUGUAGAAAGAGAUUAUUUUUCAAGAUCAAGAAAGGAUUCAAAGAUAUAUUGAGAUCUAUCAAAAAGGAAAUAUUUUAUUGGAAGAAGAUAGCAUGGUUUAUUUUAAGGAGCAAAUCUUUUACACCAAUCAAGGAAGUCUAUUAAGAAAAGGAAAGAGGUGUUCUACGGAAGGAGCACUACAUAAAAGAAUAUUAGAGGGUGCAUAUGUGUAGCUACAAAGAUAUGAUCAGUACCUAUUCAAAAGGAAACUAUGUAACAAAGGAAGUUCCAAUGUCAAAUUGUCCACAAGGAAAUAAAUGGCAUCAAUAUGUACUCCACAAAAUCAGUUAAGAAAGAUUUUGUGAGCAAUUACAAGAAAGUAGCGGGUGUCAUGGACUCACACUCAGAAGGCAAGAAAUACAAAGUGUCCUAGUUCAAAUGACAUGUCAUGGCAAUUUAUGGAAGCAAAUAAAAUUAGAAAAGGACAUGAUCAAGACAAAAUAUGGAGUAUCAAUUGACAAAGACUACUAUCAGCAACCAAGGAAGGAUUCAAUCAAGAAAGGAAAACAAAUAUUCUUGAAGACCCAUUCACAAUGAUCAAGAGAAUCAUUUCUAAAUAUUCUUGGGUUAUGCAUUAGCCAGAAGAUGUUGAAAGGCUAUGAAAAGGAGAUCUACAAAGGAAGAAAGCACACAGCCUUCUAUAUAAUUGUCUAUCCAACUACAAGUUCUUUAUUCUACUCUUAACAAGCAUUGUAAUUCACUUUAGUAGAUUUACUGUAUACACAAAAGAGAGAAGAGAGACAGAAAAAUAUUGGAGAGGCGGUGUGUCCGGAGAGGUUGUGUCAUUGUUUGUUUUUUGAUGAGCGAGUGAAAACCAAAGGGUCGUUGUUGGUGAGCGAGUGAAAACCAAACCUGUAAACGUUGGUGGUGAAUUUUGAAAAUCACACAAGCUGUACUUAAUACAAAUUACAAAGAGCUCAAGAGAUAACAUCCUUGCAACCUAAGGAGACUGGAUUAGGAUAUCACAUUGGUUCCGAACCAGUAUAAAAUUCCUGGUGUCAUUUAUUAUACAUCUUACUGUUUAUUGUGAGUAGUAUCUAUUUAAAUUGAAGUACUAACAAUUUUGGUGUAGGCUGUUUCCGCAUAAGUCGACUAGGUCUGAAGAGUAGUUGACUAGAAAUUUAAAAAGGCUACAAUUCAACCCCCUCCCCCUCUUAUGCUUUCAGGAACGACCCUUUGCUUACUGCAGAGUGAUUUUGUAUGGGCCGUCCCAAUUGGUCCCCAUUUUACCUUCUUGUAGAUCCUUGGUCGCCUGUGUUUUGGCCUUGAGUACAUAGUCCACGACUUUGAGUGACCUGACCUUGGCUUUUUUGUUGUAGCACCGAUCUACCUAUUUUUUUUAGGCUACCAUUCUUAUGUAAGCCAUGUCUCUUCGUUCUUCGACCUCGUCGAGGUCUUGCCUUCUGAUUUUAUCGUUGCUUGGCCUGCUCUCAUUUGAAUAUCAUAGACUUGGUUCUCCGCCUCGACCGGUAUCACUACAUCAGUCCCAUAGACUAGUGAAUAUGGCGUUUCCCCUGUGCUUGUCUUUGGCAUGGUGCGGACGCCCACAACACUUCUGGAAGCACCUCUGGCCACAGUCCCUUGACAUUUUCGAGUUUCUUUUUCAUGAUAUUCAAUAUCGUUUUGUUAGAGGAUUCAGCUUGUCAGUUGCCUGCUGGGUGAUAUGGUGUAGAGAGUAUUCUUUUGAUGUGCCAUUUCUCGAAGAACUCAGCGACCUUCUUCCUUGUUAAUUGGUGUUCGUUGUCACAACUAAUUUCUUUGGGGAUUCCGAAGCGGUAUACGAUGUUCCUCUAUAUAAAGGCAAUCACUUCUUGUUUGCGUAUUUGGGUGAACGCACCUGCUUCCAUUUAGAAAAAUAGUCGGUUAAAACCAAAAGAAAUCGUACAUUACCUCGUCCUCCGGGAAGGGGGCCGACGAUAUCCAUUCCCAUUUGAUGAAGGGCCAAGGCGGAGUGACUGAGAGGAGGUGCUCGCCCGUUGGGUGGAUCAUGGGGGCGUACUUUGGGCAUGGUUCACAUCUUUUAACAAAAUCAGCUGCUUCUUUUUUCAUUGUGGGCUAGUAAUAGCCUGCUCGUAUGAGACAUCUGACUAGGGCUCAAUUUUCGGUGUGAGCCCCGCAGUGACCCUCGUGGACCUCUUCCAGGACGAGUCGUAUCUGGUUUGGUCCCAAACAUUUUGCUAGAGGGCCGCCAUAGGUCCUUUUGUAUAGAUCGUUGUUGAUGAUGUUAUACCUGGUUGCUUGCAUUCGAAGCUUUUUGGCUUCUUUUUUGUCGUUUGGGAGCACGCCGUCCAGCAGGUAAGCAACAAUACGGUUGCGCCAAUCCCAAGUUAGGUUAAUAGUGCAUACCUCAAUUUGGUUGAUGGUCGAGUGGAGGAGAGUGACCACAUUCUCUUUUUCGGUUAUGCUUUGGUGGUUGUCGCUGAUUUGGCGAGGCCGUCCCCCUCGAUGUUCUGCGUUUGAGGUAUUUGGCUGAGCUGGUAUUCGUCGAACUCGGGCAGUAACUUGUAGAUCUCGGCCUGAUAUUUUUGUAGCCUUUGCUCUUUGAUUUGGAAAGUCCUUGUUACUUGAUUGACGAUGAGUUAUGAGUCGAAUCGAAGGACUACCCGUCGUUCUCCAUACUUGAGUGCCAUUUUUAACCCUGCAAUCACGGCCUCAUUGUUAGUCAUAUCAGGACACCGUAUGUACUAGCGAAUUAUCUCACAUGUCGAGACCUCAAGUACGAGUCCCAAUCCAAAUCCUGACGCAUUGGAGGCGCCAUCGGUGUGCAAAAUCCAUAGGGCGUGUGUCUUGGGGAAGUACUAGUGGCUUCCCUUUCGACCUCAGGCAUUACUUUAGCGCUAAAGUCGGCGACGAAGUAGGCAAGUACUUGCGGCUUUAUCGUUGCUCGCGGUUGAUAGGUUAUACCGUGCUCGCUCAAUUCAAUGGCCCAUUUGGGCAACCUACCCAACAGCUCGGGCUUGUAUAGGAUACUCCUUAGAGGAAAAGUUGUGACCAUCGAGAUGGGGUGGCAGGGGUGGCACUGGAAAUAAGGUCUAAGCUUUCGUGAAGCUACAACUAAAGCCAAGGCUAGAUUUUCGAGGUGGGGGUACCUUGUUUCAUCGUCGACCAAGGUCUUGUUAAUUUAGUAGAUUGGAGAUUGCAUACCCUUAUUUUCUUGGACCAGGUCUAUGCUUACUGCAACGUCGGACACGGCUAGGUAGAUGAGGAGGUGUUCUCCGGGUUCUGCCUUAGCAAAUAGCGAGGGCGAAGAUAAGUACGCCUUUAAUUCUCUUAGGGCGUCGGCGCACUCAGAAUUCCAUUGGAGUUUGUUGUCCUUUUUUAGCAAGGGGAAGAAUUUGUGGCAUCUAACAGAGGAUCAUGAGAUGAACCUCGAUAGGGUGGCUAUAAAGCCGGCCAGCUUCUACACUUGUUUCUUGCUGAUUAAGUUAUCCGGUAUUCCCUCUAUAGCCUUGAUUUGGUCGGGGUUAACCUCGAUGCCUCUUUAUGACACUAAAAAGCAGAGGAACUUUCCUGAGGUUACGUCGAAGGCGCAUUUCUCGGGGUUUAAUUUCAUGUCGUACCGCCUGAGUAUGUCGAAGGCUUCUCUUAAAUGGUCGAUAUGGUCUUCCUUUCUUUUCGACUUGACCAACAUGUCAUCUAUAUAUACUUCCAUGGUUUUGCUGAGCUGUUCCUUGAAAAUUUUGGUUACUAUCCUCAGAUAUGUCGCCCAUGCGUUUUUCAAUCCGAACAGCAUAACUUUGUAGUAGUACGUACCUUGGUGGGUAAUGAAAGUAGCUUUUUCCUAGUCUUCCUUCUCUAUGAGGAUCUGGUUGUAACCCGAAUAGGCGUCCAUGAAACUUAACAGUUCGUGUCCUGCUGUUGCAUCAAUGAGCUGAUCAAUGUGUGGCAGUGGGAAUGAGUCUUUUGGGCAUGCCUUGUUCAGAUCUGUGAAGUCUACGCACUUUUCCAUUUCCCAUUUUUCUUUUUCACCAUGACCACGUUGGCGACCCAUUGUGGGUAUUUUAACUCCCUGAUGGAUCCUUUUCAAGUAAUUUUUCCACCUCUUCGUGGAUGACAUCAUUUAUUGCAAUAUUGAAUUUUCUUCUAACCUGCCAUACCGGGGGGUAGAGUGGGUUGACAUUCAAUUUGUGUUUUGCUAUUUUCUUCAAGAUUCCCGGCAUAUCUGCAUGAGAAAAGGCAAACAAGUCCGCACUGUUAGUUAAAAAUUGAUGGAAUUUACCUGGUUCUUGGAGUUUGUGGCCGAUAUAAGCCUUUUUGUUGUGGUCGUUCUUAUCGAGCUAAACGGGGUCGAUGUCUUCCACAGUUGAUCCCGUAGCCUCCACGAAUUCGGGGUCCUUGAUGAAAUCUUUCCCUUCAUCGUCAUCCGUCCUCGACCUCGCUAAUUGUUAUGCUUCUGCGUCUUUGCCUUUCAACUGUUGGGUGUAUGUGCAGUCUUGGGCAAUGCGAUAGCAUUCUUGGGCUAUGUGCUGCUCACCGCAGAUGCUGAAUACUCCCCAGAGGGUGGGAAACUUGACAACCUGAUAUAAGCUGGAUGGGAUGGCCUAUAUAGCGUGUAUCCAAGGCCGUCAUAUGAUGGCAUUGUACGCCGUAUCUUGAUCCAUAAUCUGGAACGUUAUUUCCAGGGUGAUACCACCGGCCAGAACGGGUAGUGUGAUUUCUUAAGAAGUCCGCUCAACUGCAUUGUUAAAACCCAUUAGUGUGAUGCAGCAUGGCACUAUCUUACCUUCGAGCCUCAUUUGUGUAAGGACUCAAGGAUGGAUAGUGCACACGCCGCUUCCAUCAUCUACCAUAAUCCAUUUUACAUCGGUAUCUGAAAUACACAAAGUAAUAACAAGAGCAUCAUAGUGAAGAAAGGUCAAACCGUGGGUAUCUGACUCGUCGAAGAUGAUACUUUCUUCGAGGUCGUCAUACUGUUCAUGGAUGAUCAAUCGUUUCAACUUGUGGGUGGUUGUCAACUUUACGUUGUUGAUUGUUGCGUCGUCACCUCCUCCAAUGAUCAUUUGGAUGGUGCAGGCUGGGGAGGGUGGCUUUGGGGGCCUUGAUGUUUUUCUCAUCCUCGAGCGAAGUUAGUUCUUCCUCGGUCGCCCAUCAGCUCUCUCAAAUGCUCUUGGUGGAGUAUGUUUACUACCUCUUGCCUCAAGGCGAUGCAGUCUUCGAUCUUAUGACCUCCUUCCUGAUGGAAUUCACAAGGGGGUGUUCGACUUUCUGGUGUUUAGGUCAGACUUCAUCUUUUAUGGCCAUUUCACCUUUGGGCGUUCUCUUUUGGAUGGACCGUCGCCAUUGCCGGGGGGGGGAGGGGGGUAUUGGCAGUAGUUCUAACGUAUGGCUGGUGUCUUUCACAUUUGAGACGUGGACCUACAUGAUCCCUUCUGUUAUCGUUUCUACGAUCUUUUCUUGACUCCAUCUGGAUCGAUGUUAAUCGUUGGGUUAGUUCAUUGAGGUCGUCCUCGUCUGCUCUCACCUCAGCACAAUAGGUACUGUGUAUUUCAUCCCAAGUGGUGGGGAGUAUUUCAUGAGCCGAUUCAACAAUUUUUUGGUUUCCCUUGAACCGCUCAUGUUCAGCCCAUUUUGGAACGCUGCUACUGCCAUUCCUUCUGAUACAUUUAGGAGAGUCAUUCUAACACGGUUGAAUCGGGGUGAGGAAGUCCCUGAGUCCUUCGCCAAGUGAUUGUUUAAUGGCAAAUAUAUCAUUCACUCUCGCAUCUGCUUUCUUGGCCCCGGCAUGUGCGGUGACGAACUUUUCGGCCAUUUCCUUAAAUAUUUCUAUGGAACGCACUGACAGUUCUGAGUACCACGUCAGCGCUCCCGCGGUUAGGGUUUCACCAAAGUUUUUCAGCAAUAUGGAUGAUACUUGCUCUUUCGCAAGGUCGUUGCCCUUUAAUGCAGUGACAUAGUGAGUGAUGUGAUCUUCAAGGUCUGUUAUGCCGCCAUAUGUUUUCAAGUAUGGUGGCAUCGUGAAUGUUUUAGGUAUAGCAUGUGGUAUGGCCUUGUCGCUGUACGGUUGUUCCACGAACCGGCCAACGUCUAUUUUGGUAAGAGCUUUGUGGCGCCUGGUAUCUUGUCUACUCUUUCUUGGUGCUCCCUCAUUUGGUCGCGGAGCGCUUUGCUCUUGGUCUCCAUCUCCUCCAUUUUUCUUAGAAUAGCUGUAAGGGUACCGUUAUCUGCAUCAUUAACGGUGUGAGUGAUACCUGUUGAAGGAGGAGGGACGUGCUGCUUAUUGGUUGUUGUUGUGAUGUCGAGUAUGCUGGUCAGCGUACUCGUUAGCCAUACUUCUAGUAGUUUCUUCACUGCUGGUGGUGCUUCUUCCAUUGUGGACGUAGAGGCUCCUUUUCCAUGGGAGGUGGUAACGAUGCCAUGAGGAAGGGGAGAACCACUUCUCCUAGGGGAAGUGUUUGGUGUCAUGUUCUCCUUGUCUGCUCCAUCAACCUCAUUGAUGGUGUUUAGGAGGUUAGCAGUAAGGCCUGCCACUGCCUUCAAUCUUUCCUCUCCAUUACCUACAUGUUAGACUGUGCAAGUAGGAAAAAGGAAUUUUUGUGUCAUGCUGUUGUUGUUUUUUUUAGAUCUAGAAAAACUAUGACUUUGACUAAAAAAAUUCCCAGAGACGGUGCCAAACUGUUUGACCAAAAAGUAUGAAACCUUUUGUUAAACUAAUUAAAUAAAAAGGUGAUGGCUAAAUCCUAGUUAAAUAUAAUAAGUUCUAGAUCUAACACGUGCUUGUAUAAAUAAUGCUGAACGGCGUUUGAACCAACUUAAUAUAAACAGUAUUAAAUGAUGCUAUCAAAAAUGAAUGGAGGGACAUUGAUGAGUAAUAAAUAUAUUAAAUGGAAAUAAAUAUAAAUAUAUAGAAUGAUUCACUCAAAUAUUGAAUGAGGUGUAUGAUUCUUCUCUCUAACAAUGAUGUAAGACAAAUGUAUAUUGGAAUAUAUGAGGUUAUCUCGGAUCUUAUGCGAGAAAAUGUGAGAUAAAUAGCAAAUCGAAUAGUUGUGGAAAGGUGAUAUUCUUGUAUUGUCUACCUAGAGUCAACCUUUUACAAGAGUUCUUAUCAGGAUCAAUAUUACAUGCCUUUUGCCCUAUCUCUUCUACUAUUUAUAUGAGAUACUCCCAAAAAACUCUAGAAAACUCUAGUCGUUAUACGUUUUCCUACUGCUCGACCUCGGCUUUGAUGGCUUACUUGGCAGCCCCAUACUGUCAACCCCUGGUCGACCUCAACCUAGUCGUCCAUGAUGAGCCACCAUCCUCACACUUGGUCACUUCUUCAUGCCGAAUUUUCUCGGUCGGAUUUUGACCCAUACAGACCACAAUUUCAGAAUUCUUUCUUUCUUUCUCAAACUUUAUUUUUAGUCAAAGUGCGGCAACCCGGUGCACAAAACAUCUUGCAUUCAUGCAGAACUCGGAGAAGGACCACACCCUUAACGCAAGCAUUAGUUACUGUUUUGCACGACUCGAACCCGUGAUCCACAGAUCACAUAAAAAUAACUUUACCGAAAUUUCCCUUCAAUUUUUUCUUCAAAGUGCAUCACAUAAAAUGAAUGGAGAGAGUGCUAGUAGAAGUCUCUCUAAUAUAGUGCAAUAUAUGUAGGCCAUAGUUGAAUAAGCUUUUUCAAGAAAAUGCUGAUUCAUGACAAAACGCUUGGAUUGAUCUCAGUCGUUGAUCUCCACUUUAAUACAAUCAAUCCCAUCAAUCUGUUGUCUGCAAAUUUCUCCACGUAACUCAGUUUUCCUUUUUCUUAAUUAAUAUUGUCACACCUCCUUUUUUACCGGUAAGGGCAAUAAGGGAGUUUUUCCACUUGAAGUGACAUUAUUCGAAUUUGGGAUUAAUUUAUUUAAUUUUCAAAGUCGCCACCCGAAUUUUUACGGUGUUCCGGGACACCAUUCAUUUAUUAAAAUCCCAAACCGAGGAAAUUUUGACUCUGUUUAAAAUGUCUGCGAACCAGAAAUCCAGGUAAGGAAUUCUGUUAACCCGGGAGAAGGUGUUAGGCACUCCCGAGUUCCGUGGUUCUAGCACGGUCGCUUAAUGAUUAAACUUGGCCUAAAUUGCUGAUUUAAUACCUAUGUGCAUUUUACAUUUUUUUUAUUCAAUAUUUGAAGAAUUAUUCAAAAGCGAGUUACGUAUGAAUAGCCCGUUGAAAUUGGAUAUGCCAAAAAUUAUGUCAUGCGAACAUGUACAUAAUUCAUGACACUUAAUUCAAUUAAAAAAAAAUACGUCACGCAAGCAUGUACGUGAUUCCGAUGAUAAUAAAAAAAAUCGUUCCUAAAAGUGUCUCUACGAGUGUUCAUUUUAAUCUUUAUUUGUGUUACGUGAAACGUAUACACAAUUUGAGAAAAGGGGUGUAUUUUAGUUAUUUGAUUCAAAGUUACGCGAACGUAUACUUUGAUUGUUAAUUGUUUCCUAAGCCUAAAGUAUCCACUAUUUAAUUAAAGAAAAGGUUGAACGUUUACUAUAUCUAAGGUAAAUUCCUAAAUUAAAUCAAUAAGACCAACCUAGAGAAUAUUUCUAAAUAAAAAGACAUAUAUGAUCUUAUUCUAAACAUAAGUAAGAGUUUGGGCUAUGGCCUAAUUUAAGCCCAUUUAGAAAUUAACACUUUAGGCCAAUCUUGACUUUGGCUAUUUGUGAAAGAAGAAGUUCAUGCAAUUUAACUCUACACUACUAAGUUAAUGAUACAAAUAAAAAAUAUGGAUCAAAAUUUAAAACAACUAAACAGAAAAAAAUUUUAAACAAUAAACUGCUAAAUCUAGUCAUUACAGAUGCUAAAACUGUAUUCAGGUAUUUCGAAAUUUAAAACAAAAUAAAUCUGGAAAUUUUGGACAGUUUAAAAUUAAUAACAGUAUUAGGCCGAAUUCUAACGAUAUUUAAACUCGGUUGCAAUCUAACAAUCAUAUUGCCUAACGUGUUCCAUAUUAUAUUAAAUUUAAAGCGGUUUGUAACUCUAAAACUUUGGGCUUCAUACCCUUAGGCCUAAUGACCUUGGGUGUAGACUUGCUCGGGCCCGUUGGACCUUUUUUAUAAAUCUACCCGGUUUAACUAGUAAAUCGCUGAUUUUUACAAAAUAGCCUAUUAGUGUCAUAAUCCAAAAUCAAGGGAUAUAUAGUCUAUUAAAAAAUUUUAAUUCCUGCGAAGAACAUUCAAUUAAAUUUGAAAUCGAUAUGUUUAUAAUAGCAAAAUAUAAAACAGAAAUUUUGCUAAUAUAGCCGGGAUUUUCAGUUUUAGGUGCUGAAAUUACGUGAAAAUGUAAACUACUGAAAUUAAUACGAUUAUACAGUCCAUUACAGCUAAAAUGGAAGAAAAGAAAGGAAUAUAGCUAGUUUAACAAAAAAUUAAAAUUAUACAUGGCCAUAUAAAGAUUGUACAUAAAAUCCUACUAUUUUUUAAACUAUAAACUGCCUCAGUUUCAAUGGCUCAUGAUUUUGAAACCUGCAUUUUACCAGUUAAAGAGGAAAUAAAGUGAGACAGCUUUAUGCAUUCUUAAAGGAGGUAAUCUGACCAUUAUAGGGUCAGAUUCGUUUCCUUAAUGCAAGUCAAAUUAAAAAGGAUGAACAUGACAUGUUUAUAUAUUUCUAAAGAGCCUUAAACUAUUCACACAUAUC